rnacentral:rRNA from 1 species
CCCUUAGAUGUUCUGGGCAGCACGCGCGCUACAAUGGUCUUCGCAAACGGAUGCAUUCUCGAAGGAGAAUGCCAAUCUUGGAAUCUAUGCCUUGGUCGGGACAGUUGCUUGCAAUUUUUCGACUCGAACCAGGAAUUCCUUGUAAUCGUGAUUCAUCACAUCACGAUGAAUACGUCCCUGCCCUUUGUACACACCGCCCGUCGCUCCUACCGAUCGAAGAGUUAGGUGAAUUGUUUUGAUCGAUAAGAUUUGACUAUGGUCUACUCUCGUUGUGAAAUUCUGUGAAUCUGACUGUUUAGAGGAAGGAAAAGUCGUAACA